AUGAUUGCGAAUCGUUGUCUUCAGUGCUGGCCAGCUCUGGCAAGUGCACGUUGGCAGCUUUUCAUCCAAUACCCCUGUGAACCUUUGGCCUCUUGCUGGCUUUGGCUGGCAGAGGAUUUUUUACACCCACUCGAAUGUAAUGAAAUUAUUGUCGUGCGCAAGCACUAAUGUA
rnacentral:misc_RNA from 1 species